GGCAACCUCAUGAACCCUAGCCCCAAUCCACAUCCCCCACGCCCCUCACUCGUCGCUCCUCCCCCUUCCCUCGUCUACCGCCUCGCUCCCUCGCUCUCCUCCCUUGUCGCCGCGGCCUUCACCCUAGGAGCCCCGCCGCCUACUGCUCCUCCUCCACCACCUCGCCUUCCCAUUGCUCGCAUGCAAGUCGCCGCUGUCGGAGAACACGGGAGUGCUGGUCUUCAAGUUGGGGUGGUUAGGAGGGCUUCCCAACCUGAUGGCGCCUCCUCCUCAUAGCGUCGUCGCCCGCGCCCCUUCUUCUCCUUCCUCCUCCCUCCUCCCUCCCUCGUCACUACUUCCACCAGUCCCCUCCUUCCCUCGUCCGUGGCCGCUGCUACCGCAUGAAUCUCCCAGGUCAGGGAAAGGAAGAAGGCCUCGGCGAGUCUAAGCCUACGAACAAAAGCAGCAGGGGUAGGUGGAGCAGCUGAUGUGGAUGGGGUCGGCAGUUGAGGGAGGGUUGCUGAACAAAUCAGCAGGAGCAAGAGCUCGAGAAGGUUUAGAUUGGAUACAAAUGGUUCAGCAAAGAGGGAGUGUGUAACUGCAUCAGAGAUAAGGCCAUGGAGUAAGAGUGUGUGGCUAGGCUGUGCAAAUUUUCUCCCUGGAGGCAGCAGCGGAAGUGGAGGAACCCAUCCCGGUCGAGCCCCCACCCUAACCUCUCUACCUCUGCAGAGGAGAACCCCAUGAAAGCUAAAAGUUUGUGGAGGAGUGCUGGCACAGGAAUAUCUGAUCUGCGCCAUGACAAUAUGGGCUUGCUGCAGCCAGGCAGUUCUUCGGAGUAUGGUGCUUUGAUUUGGUUCCUAUGGUGGUAUCUUCUCUCCCUUCUCCCUCCUUUUAUUUCUUACUUGAUGCUUUGAUAUGUUGUAUUGGCUUAAAUUAUGUACUUAGUUGAGUCCUACUUGUUUAUUGAGAUGAACCAUUUACAAAGUUGCAGUGUUAGUUUCAGAAUUUGAAAUGACAUUGUUGCCUUUAGAGUUUGAGAUGAACCGUUUUCAGAGCACAUAUGGAGAGGCCAGAAGCAGCAGGGGUCGGCGGAGCUGCGGAUGUGGUCGACAGAGCAGUAGCGGUAGGAGCAAGGAGCUUGAGAUGGUUCAGGAAAAGUGCCUACAGAGAUUUCAGAACUAGAUAGAUGUGCCUUAUGAUAGUAUUGCUAAAGAACAUCAGGUAUGAGUAGAUGGCACUGCCACCUAUGUGUUUGAUUUUUGUUUGUUGUGAUAUUCAGGGCACCCCAUAUUGUUGUGAUGUAAAAUGAACACACAAUAUUCCUAUUAAAAUAGAAAGACAAGCCUUGUUCUCUCUCUGAUUAUAAGGUUGUCCAAUGCUGAUUGACAUUGUAUACGUGUGAUACCUAACAAAUUGACUAUUCCCAUGUUUGCUUUAGUAGAACAUUAUACUCUGAUGUUUCUACAUUCUGGUGAGACGUAUAGUUGCCUUCUCUACGAUAUUUACUAUGAUUUAUAAAGCUUUUCAAUGGAGAAAUAUAAUACUUUAUGGGCCAGUAAUGCCACCAAGUAAUGGCAACCUCACCUGCAGAGUAAACAAACUUUUACUACUUGCCUUUCUUGGAUCUACUACAAUUAAUGCCAUUUUUCUUACCUCUAAACUCUUCUACAUAUUGGUUUGGCUAUUUUCCAUCCAUUAUAUGAAAGAUAGAUACCCAUAAUUUCCCAUUGGCACCCCCUAUGAUCCAUAUUUCCAUGUUAUAGACUUGCAGAAACACAUGGUUAUGCUGCUGUGAUUUGGUCCAUCCUUGGUAUUUUGAUUCGUGGUGAUCUCUCGUCUGUUUGUCAGAUGAUGCCACCAGGAGGGCUGCCGGCCCAAGACUAAAAUUUGGAAGGCACAGAAAGAUGUCGUUUCAACUCCAUCAAGUGCCAGCCGAAGGAUGUUACUCGUCGGUGCUGCGAAGGCCUUGCGGUGUGGUGUCGGUCGUUCACAUCUUAAAGCAUCUCCAACAGCCGCGCUAAAAUGAGCGUUGCGCCGCAAAUUUGCCCUUUUUAGCGUGCGCGCAAUCAGUAGAGGGGAUCCAACGGACGUGCAAUAAGUGCACGCGGGGCAUAUAGAGUCAGGCGCGCGGUCCGAAACGCCAUCGCGCGCUGUGUAUUUGGUGCGCCCGCUUCCGCGCGCGGCACACUCGAGCGCUUGCGCUGCACUCUCUCCGCCGCGCCACCUCCGCCCUGCACGCGCCGCCGCCGGUGAAUUGUGACCCAAUGGACGCCCGCACCGGCACCCCCCUCACCCCUUCCUAUAGCCGCGACCUCUCCCACCGCCACCGCCGCCGUCGCCGCCGCUGCAAACCCUAGCGCGGGGAGCUUUGGCUUCGCCUCCUCUAGCGAAUUGUUUGUGUGAUUUAAAUUAUAUGCCAUGUCUUUGUUUUGUGAUGUUUGAAAUUCAUUUUGUGUCCAAAAUGCAGCAUAUGGCAUGCGCCGUCUGCUCGCACGCGCUGCUGGAGCUACUCGCAUGCGCUGCAUUUUACCGCGGCUGCUGGAGCCAGCGCUGCCCGCCUCGCCAAACCAAGCGAUGGGCACGCUGCAUACUGGUUUUUAGCGCGCCGCGCAUUGGGCGGCUAUUGGAGAUGCUCUUACAGAAUAUAUAAAUGACCAAGAACAUCAUGUCUGCAUCAUAUGAGGGUAUUACCGGUGAGGGUAUUUCUUGCUUGUGAGCUUAGGCUUGAUUCUGAAGUUAAGUAUUAAGAUGUUAGGGUAAAUUUUUAUCAAAGCUUGCUUUGUCUAUAGUCAUACCUAAUUGAGUUUCUUCAUUUCGGCAUUUCGUAUACCUAUAUUGUUACUUCCCCUAGAACCUGUCUAUGUUCCCCUAGACACAAGUGGAAUUAUUUGCCAAGCUACAACCCAUAGCAGAACUCUUGCUGGGCAUGAACUCAAACAUACCUAUUGCUACUCCUUGGUUCAAGUAUGAUGAUCCGCAAGGUUGCUACUUUUUAAUUCUCAUCGAUAAGGUCCGUAUCUUUCCUCCCCUCUUGGAUUGUUGCAUCCUUAUUGUGUCUCAUCAUUAAGCUGGCGCAUAUAAGUAUUAAUUUGUUGAUUUCUGCUAAAGUACCGCUGAAAAUUCAAAUUCUAUAUACUUUACUUUUGGCUAUACAUAAGAAUACAGUACACACAUUUGAUUACUGAUUUAUUGUGAAGACACUAUUGUGCAUGUUUUUAUGAAUGCAGAUUAAUUAAAUUCUAUUGCUUUAUGGUGACAAGAGUAUGUUGAUUAUAAUGAUAUAAUCUUAAGAGAUUUUCAAGUGUAACCUUGUAGCAAAUUAUCUUCUAAUCCAAAGUCCACAUCAUUAUUUAUAUUUAACACAAAUGUGUUCUAUUAUACUCCCAGUCUCGGUACAUGAAGGCAUCAUAUUACCCCUGCCCCUUCUAUGUAUUUUUUAUUUCUUUUGUAUGACUGUACUUAAUGGUGCUUGCAGGUCCAUGGGCAUUGUUAGAAUGGUCACUUUAUGGCAGUAUCUCAUUUUUAGAUCUCAUGUUCCUCAAGUCCGGACAUGGAUUUAGCGGGUCUCUGCGUCAUUGGGCGCAACGGGUUCACUACUUUGCUAAAUAUUCCACUUUAACUUUAGUGAUUGGUUAGUUAUUCUACUUCUUUUGGCUAAAUGUUCAGGAACAAUCGCACAUCUGAAAUAACUAAUUGACAUUGAUUUUUGCUAAAUAUUCCACUUCUUUUGUCAGUUUGUAGUUGAUUUCUAGCUAUGAUUUACAUAUUCUACUUCUUUGUCCAACCCAUAGCGUGACUGGAGAGCGACGUAAGCGAUGUCGACCGUGGCCUAUGCCCAGGUGAUCUCUCCCGUUGUUCUUCUCUUUGAUCCUGCCCUCUACGUCUCCUGUUGGCGGCCCAUAUAUGGCGUUUACAAGGAUGUCGCCUUUGGCAUGGCGUCCUUGCUGCCACAGUAAAAUUUGUUCAAGUGAGAAAGCUUUGAAUAGUAGAGCCCUCCUUUAUUUUUUCCAUGGGCAGAGUGGGUGGAGGUACAGAGCCUCAAGAUGUCACAAAGAAUCUUAUCUUUAUUUCAUAGUGAACUUAGAAGGGUUUUCUAUCUUAAUAUGAUAAUGCAGGCUUCCUUACCUUGACCAGAAUUUAGCGUUUUGUUGCUCCUUACCAUGCAAUGUGGCUUCAGCACCAUUUUUAAAAUAUAAGCCAUCAUUUGUGCCGGUCCUUAUCAAAGGGGAUUUUGAUGUUCUCGCUGAAACAGAGGACUUGAAUUGAUGAAUUCUAGGAUUAGUAAACAUUAGCACAAUCCUGAUUAUCCAGUUGAGAAAUCUUAUAUUUUAAUUGUGAUAGGUAAUGUAGACUACAAGAGUUGUCUUCUAAGUUUUGCAAAUUCUUCUGUUAGUAGCUAAUGCUGUUUAGAAAUUUUGAUUUCCCUUUUUGUUGUAGCUCUUCAUUUUCGUCACUAGUUUACAUUUAUUUUGUAUCUUUCUCAUUCUGUUCAUAACAUUUUUUCAUGUUUCUUCCUUUUUAUAGAGGUAUUUUGAUGUUGUGUCGAGAAUUUUGGCUAAUUGACGGCUCAAAUGAUUACAAGCAUAUGAUCUUGUCAGCUUGAGUGAUUCCGGGCAUAUCAACUAUAGGCAAACGUGACAUAGAAGAUUCUUGCUUUCCUUUUUUUGUUUUGGUUAAAUUGCAGUCAAGCUACUUACAUACGACUCUUAUCAGGGCAUCUCAGAAUUCUCAAACGGAGCUGCUUCUGUUUUAGCCUGAUUUACGUUUCUACUGUAGGUGUAGCUCUAUGACGGUACAAACUUUUUGCAAUGUUGAAGAGAAGAACAACGUGUUACCUGUUUAUGCUUUUAAUAUGGCUUGAUAGACAGGCCCUGUUGUGGGACAGGAACCUAAUAUUGUUGUUUUUAAUGUUGGAACAAAUGAUCAUUUGAUCUAUGUGCAAUUGCAUUGGCUAUUUCUCAA